rnacentral:tRNA from 1 species
CGCGGGAUGGAGCAGUUGGUAGCUCGUCGGGCUCAUAACCCGAAGGUCGUUGGUUCAAGUCCAGCUCCCGCAA